rnacentral:rRNA from 1 species
GCGGUAAUACGGAGGGAGCUAGCGUUGUUCGGAAUUACUGGGCGUAAAGCGCACGUAGGCGGCUUUGUAAGUUAGAGGUGAAAGCCUGGAGCUCAACUCCAGAACUGCCUUUGAUACUGCAUGGCUUGAAUCCAGGAGAGGUGAGUGGAAUUCCGAGUGUAGAGGUGAAAUUCGUAGAUAUUCGGAAGAACACCAGUGGCGAAGGCGGCUCACUGGACUGGUAUUGACGCUGAGGUGCGAAAGCGUGGGGAGCAAACAGGAUUA